rnacentral:lncRNA from 7 species
CUUCAGAAUAUUAAUCUGUCAGGGACAGAGCCACCUCUGAUUUGUGCUGAAGGCAGGCAUGACUGAAACUACAUCACUCUCCAUGAGAGAUAGAAGUGUCUAAGGAGGAGGAUGUAAAGCUGUUUGAGAACUGAAGGUCAUUAAAUUACCAGGACUAAAAAGGAAUGCCACCAAGAUGGUGAAGUCAUCCCAGGUGUGGAAAAUCCAGCUGCUCCUUGCUGUUAGGUCUGAGACUCACAUGCCUGGACUGAGGUUUAGGUGCAGAAGCAGUGUCAUCGCCCUGUUUUCUUCCUCUGGGAAGAACUCUUAUAAAUGGAGUUAAGUCUGCAAGGUAAUUCAGACCCAAGUUUCUUCCGUGGAAACUACUGAGGCGGCUUGCUAAUAUUUUUUCCUUCUGCAAAUGUGUUUUUGAAGUGUGGUUGUCCUGUCGUUUAUAGAAACGUAUUGCAACUAUUAAUGCCCUGCAGUCAACCAGAAAGCCUGCAGAGCACACAGAAAGGUAUGAGUUGAGGGUGAAAGAAACAUCUCUUCAAAUGAAGCAAGACCCCUUUUCUGAAGGGGUGAGUAGUAUGAUGUGGAGUCUAAGGGCAUUACUAACUGCAGAAAUAAUCCAGUCAGCCUUGAGGUGAGAUGCUGUUAGUAAUAUCAGUCUCCUGAGGUACCCAUUCCUCCAUAGUUUUGUAUCAUACUGAUGUUCUACCCUGCAUAGGGAAUUAUUUUGGUAUCUUUUUGCUCUUUCUUUGUUAUUAAUUAAGGUGUUAAUUCAGUAACUCAUUGCCAACUAUGCAAAAACAUUCUGCUGUUUGUUUGAUGCUAGACUACUAAGUUGAUGUAACCCAUUAUGAAGUAAUUGCUUGAUUUCAAUUUGCCAUCAGGGACCAUCAUACAAAUGAUUGAGUGAUAUAUGCAUCUAACUCUUCUGUAUUUUGAGAGGGAAAUAUUAGUCUUCACAGUCCAUUUUUGGGUAUAUAUACAUUACCUCCAGCACAGAUUGAAGAAGGUGGGCCAGGCAGAUGUAGUUACCUGCCUGCAAGACUUGGGCAGCUCACUGCUCUUGAGUUAGCAGUGAAAUUCAGCGACUGGUAUUCAUGAGAAUGGAAGGCCAGAUCUUGUAUGUAUGUGGGGAGAAUGUAAAAUGCAAUCAUCCUGAGUUU